rnacentral:lncRNA from 1 species
CUAUAGCCCACUCGUUUUUUGGCCAUUUUUCCGCUGGGGGGUCUUGGCGCCCCGACCUUCGGGGGCUAAAUUUUUGGGCGCGACUGUGCCCGCGGCAUAUUUUUGGCACACGGAGGCCGCCCGCAAAGUCUGGGGCCAUUCCGAGUCCGGCGGACGAACUUCGCCCACGCCCCCGCCAAGGCUAUAGCCCACCCGUUUUUUGGCCAUUUUUCCGCUGGGGGGUCUUGGCGCCCCGACCUUCGGGGGCUAAUUUUUGGGCGCGGCUGUGCCCGCGGCCUAUUUUUGGCACACGAGGGCCGCCCGCAAAGUCUGGGGCCAUUCCGAGUCCGGCGGACGAACUUCGCCCACGCCCCCCACCAAGGCUAUAGCCCACCCGUUUUUUGGCCAUUUUUCCGCUGGGGGGUCUUGGCACCCCGACCUUCGGGGGCUAAUAUUUGGGCGCGGCUGUGCCCGUGGCCUAUUUUUGGCACACGGAGGCCGCCCGCAAAGUCUGGGGCCAUUCCGAGUCCGGCGGACGAACUUCGCCCCGCCCCCCAACAAGGCUAAAGCCCACCCGUUUUUUGGCCAUUUUUCCGCUGGGGGGUCUUGGCACCUCCAUCUUCGGGGGCAAAUUUUUGGGCGCGGCUGUGCCCGUGGCCUAUUUUUGGAACACGAGGGCCGCCCGCAAAGUCUGGGGCCAUUCCGAGUCCGGCGGACGAACUUCGCCCACGCCCCCCACCAAGGCUAUAGCCCACCCGUUUUUUGGCCAUUUUUCCGCUGGGGGGCUUGGCGCCCCGACCUUCGGGGGCUAAUUUUUGCGCGCGGCUGUGCCCGCGGCCUAUUUUUGGCACACGGAGGCCGCCCGCAAAGUCUGGGGCCAUUCCGAGUCCGGCGGACGAACUUCGCCCACGCCCCCGCCAAGGCUAUAGCCCACCCGUUUUUUGGCCAUUUUUCCGCUGGGGGGUCUUGGCGCCCCGACCUUCGGGGGCUAAUUUUUGUGCUCGGCUGUGCCAGCGGCCUAUUUUUGGCACACGAGGGCCGCCCGCAAAGUCUGGGGCCAUUCCGAGUCCGGCGGACGAACUUCGCCCACGCCCCCCACCAAAGCUAUAGCCCACUCGUUUUUUGGCCAUUUUUCCGCUGGUGGGUCUUGGCGCCCCGACCUUCGGGGGCUAAAUUUUUGGGCGCGGCUGUGCCCGCGGCCUAUUUUUGGCACACGGAGGCCGCCCGCAAAGUCUGGGGCCAUUCCGAGUCCGACGGACGAACUUCGCCCACGCCCCCGCCAAGGCUAUAGCCCACCCGUUUUUUGGCCAUUUUUCCGCUGGGGGGUCUUGGCGCCCCGACCUUCGGGGGCUAAUUUUUGGGCGCGGCUGUGCCCGCGGCCUAUUUUUGGCACACGGAGGCCGCCCGCAAAGUCUGGGGCCAUUCCGAGUCCGGCGGACGAACUUCGCCCACGCCCCCCCCCAAGGCUAUAGCCCACCCGUUUUUUGGCCAUUUUUCCGCUGGAAGUCUUGGCACCUCCACCUUCGGGGGCUAAUUUUUGGGCGCGGCUGUGCCCGUGGCCUAUUUUUGGCACACGGAGGCCGCCCGCAAAGUCUGGGGCCAUUCCGAGUCCGGCGGACGAACUUCGCCCACGCCCCCCGCCAAGGCUAUAGCCCACCCGUUUUUUGGCCAUUUUUCCUCUGGGGGGUCUUGGCAGCCCGACCUUCGGGGGCUAAUUUUUGGGCGCGGCUGUGCCCGUGGCCUAUUUUUGGCACACGGAGGCCGCCCGCAAAGUCUGGGGCCGUUCCGAGUCCGGCGGACGAACUUCGCCCACGCCCCCCACCAAGGCUAUAGCCCACCCGUUUUUUGGCCAUUUUUCCGCUGGGGGGUCUUGGCGCCCCGACCUUCGGGGGCUAAUUUUUGGGCGCAGCUGUGCCCGUGGCCUAUUUUUGGCACACGGAGGCCGCCCGCAAAGUCUGGGGCCAUUCCGAGUCCGGCGGACGAACUUCGCCCACGCCCCCGCCAAGGCUAUAGCCCACCCGUUUUUUGGCCAUUUUUCCGCUGGGGGGUCUUGGCAGCCCGACCUUCGGGGGCUAAUUUUUGGGCACGGCUGUGCCCGUGGUCUAUUUUUGGCACACGGAGGCCGCCCGCAAAGUCUGGGGCCAUUCCGAGUCCGGCGGACGAACGUCGCCCACGCCCCCGACCAAGGCUAUAGCCCACCCGUUUUUUGGCCAUUUUUCCGCUGGGGGGUCUUGUCGCCCCGACCUUCGGGGGCUAAUUUUUGGGCGCGGCUGUGCCCGUGGCCUAUUUUUGGCACACGGAGGCCGCCCGCAAAGUCUGGGGCCAUUCCGAGUCCGGCGGACGAACUUCGCCCACGCCCCCCACCAAGGCUAUAGCCCACCCGUUUUUUGGCCAUUUUUCCGCUGGGGGUCUUGGCACUUCCACCUCCGGGGGCUAAUUUUUGGGCGCGGCUGCGCCCGUGGCCUAUUUUUAGCACACGAGGGCCACCCACAAAGUCUGGGGCCAUUCCGAGUCCGGCGGACGAACUUCGCCCACGCCCCCCACCAAGGCUAUAGCCCACCCGUUUUUUGGCCAUUUUUCCGCUGGGGGGUCUUGGCGCCCCGACCUUCGGGGGCUAAUUUUUGGGCGCGGCUGUGCCCGUGGCCUAUUUUUGGCACACGGAGGCCGCCCGCAAAGUCUGGGGCCAUUCCGAGUCCGGCGGACGAACUUCGCCCACGCCCCCCACCAAGGCUAUAGCCCACCCGUUUUUUGGCCAUUUUUCCGCUGGGGGGUCUUGGCACCCCCACCUUCGGGGGCUAAUUUUUGGGCGCGGCUGUGCCCGUGGCCUAUUUUUGGCACACGAGGGCCACCCGCAAAGUCUGGGGCCAUUCCGAGUCCGGCGGACGAACUUCGCCCACGCCCCCCACCAAGGCUAUAGCCCACCCGUUUUUUGGCCAUUUUUCCGCUGGGGGGUCUUGGCACCCCGACCUUCGGGGGCUAAUUUUUGCGCGCGGCUGUGCCCGUGGCCUAUUUUUGGCACACGGAGGCCCCCCGCAAAGUCUGGGGCCAUUCCGAGUCCGGCGGACGAACUUCGCCCACGCCCCCGCCAAGGCUAUAGCCCACCCGUUUUUUGGCCAUUUUUCCGCUGGGGGGUCUUAGCAACCCGACCUUCGGGGGCUGAUUUUUGGGCGCGGCUGUGCCCGUGGCCUAAUUUUGGCACACGGAGGCCGCCCGCAAUGUCUGGGGCCAUUCCGAGUCCGGCGGACGAACUUCGCCCACGCCCCCCACCAAGGCUAUAGCCCACCCGUUUUUUGGCCAUUUUUCCGCUGG